UUUUGGGCAAUGGGCGCAAGCCUGACCCAGCGACGCCGCGUGGAGGACUAAGCCCUUCGGGGUGUAAACUCCUUUUAGUGGGGACGAACGCAGACGGUACCCACAGAAAAAGCCCCGGCUAACUACGUGCCAGCAGCCGCGGUAAUACGUAGGGGGCGAGCGUUGCCCGAAUUUACUGGGCGUAAAGCGCACGUAGGCGGCUCCGUAAGUCUGGUGUGAAAUCUCACGGCUCAACCGGGAGGCUGCACCAGAUACUGCGGAGCUCGAGGGCGGGAGAGGAGAUUGGAAUUCCCGGUGUAGCGGUGAAAUGCAUUGAUAUCGGGAGGAACACCAGUGGCGAAGGCGGAUCUCUGGCCCGCUUCUGACGCUGAGGUGCGAAAGCUGGGGGAGCGAAAGGGAUUAGAUACCCCUGUAGUCCCAGCCCUAAACGAUGGGCGCUAGGUGUUGGGGGAUUAACUCUCAGCGCCGUAACUAACGCAUUAAGCGCCCCGCCUGGGGAGUA
rnacentral:rRNA from 1 species